UGGGGAAUAUUGGACAAUGGGGGGAACCCUGAUCCAGCCAUGCCGCGUGUGUGAAGAAGGCCUUUUGGUUGUAAAGCACUUUAAGCGAGGAGGAGGCUACUCUAGUUAAUACCUAGGGAUAGUGGACGUUACUCGCAGAAUAAGCACCGGCUAACUCUGUGCCAGCAGCCGCGGUAAUACGGAGGGUGCGAGCGUUAAUCGGAUUUACUGGGCGUAAAGCGUGCGUAGGUGGCCAAUUAAGUCAAAUGUGAAAUCCCCGAGCUUAACUUGGGAAUUGCAUUCGAUACUGGUUGGCUAGAGUAUGGGAGAGGAUGGUAGAAUUCCAGGUGUAGCGGUGAAAUGCGUAGAGAUCUGGAGGAAUACCGAUGGCGAAGGCAGCCAUCUGGCCUAAUACUGACACUGAGGUACGAAAGCAUGGGGAGCAAACAG
rnacentral:rRNA from 1 species